rnacentral:rRNA from 1 species
AAUGAACGCUGGCGGCAGGCCUAACACAUGCAAGUCGAACGAGUGGCGGACGGGUGAGUAAUGUCUGUGAACCUGCCUGAUGGAGGGGGAUAACUACUGGAAACGGUAGCUAAUACCGCAUACCAUCAGAUGUGCCCAGAUGGGUUUGGCUUGUUGGUGGGGGAACGGAUCACCAAGGCGACGAUCCGUAGCUGGGCUGUGAGGAUGACAAGCCACACUGGAACGGAGACACGGUCCAGACUCCUACGGGAGGCAGCAGUGGGGAAUAUUGGACAAUGGGCGCAAGCCUGAUGCAGCCAUGCCGAGUGUAUGAAGAAGGCCUUCGGGUUGUAAAGGACUUUCAGCGGGGAGGCGUUACCCGCAGAAGAAGCACCGGCUAACUCCGUGCCAGCAGCCGCGGUAAUAC